GUGGGGAAUAUUGGGCAAUGGGGGCAACCCUGACCCAGCGACGCCGCGUGAGGGAAGAAGGCCUUAGGGUCGUAAACCUCUGUUGUGUGGGAAGAAGGAAGUGACGGUACCACACGAGGAAGUCCCGGCUAACUACGUGCCAGCAGCCGCGGUAAUACGUAGGGGACGAGCGUUGUCCGGAAUUACUGGGCGUAAAGGGCGCGUAGGCGGUCAUUUAAGUCAGCUGUGAAAUGGUCCGGCUCAACCGGAUCAUGCGGUUGAAACUGGAUGACUGGAGUGCUGGAGAGGCAAGUGGAAUUCCCAGUGUAGCGGUGAAAUGCGUAGAUAUUAGGAAGAACACCAGUGGCGAAGGCGACUUUCUGGACGAAAACUGACGCUGAGGCGCGAAAGCCAGGGGAGCGAACGGGAUUAGAAACCCGAGUAGUCC
rnacentral:rRNA from 1 species